UUCCGGAGCCAGUGGUCUGCAGGAAGCCCGCAGCAGGUGGCAAAGUCAAGGAAAUGGCCCUCACCUCCUUCCUGGACCUUCAGUGUACCAGUCCCUGCUGACACCUUGACAUUGGCCAAGUGAGAUGAACUCUGAGCUGCUGAUCUCUACAGUGCGGUGAUCUAGAGAGAGCUAUACUCAAGGUAGAAAAUUAGUGUGUAACUUCAGCAACGGAUGCAGACCACUGUAAGUGGUCUCAACACCCAGGAGGUCGAGUUUGCAGGAUCUAAUAAGUGACUUGAUGCAAAGAGGAAAGAAGAAAAAAGACACAGAUGGAUGAAAGGACUAUUGAGAUGUCCAAUUACUUCAACAAUAGACCACUCAUGGAGAUUGAGGCCUAAGACAAGGAACAGGAAGGACCAGUGGAAUGGCUACCCCUGACGUCAGUUAUUCAAGUAAAAACUGUAUCAACAGUAAUCUAGACUGCAAGGAGAGGCUGGGGAAACCGUUCAUGUGUACUGGACAAAUGAUGACUGAUUCUACACUUUUCUCUAAUGGUCUAGAUCUGCACGGCAUCCAUAUGCUUUAUAACGGUUGUACAACUGCCAUGGCACACGGCUGUGAUCCCAGUACUGGGGAGGACAAGGGAAGAGGACUGCAAAUUCAAAGCCAGCCCGAUCUACACUAGGGGACAAGCCUAUGCCAUCAUGUCCACAGUGAGUCACUACUGCAGAGGCCCCGAGUCCUAGACCGAGGAACGCCCUAGACCGAGGAACGCCAACUGACUAGUUCUCACGGGACAGAAAAGAAGCAUUUGUAGUCAGACUCGGAUCCGAGGUGCUUCUACAGGUUCCUAUAACUGUGGCUGAAUGUUUGGGUUCCUGCCAUGACAUGCCACGAGAGCCAGAUGAAUAACAAGCGCGUUCAGUACCUGUUGAUAAGCCAAGUUGAGAAACAAGUAUCUUUCUGACCUCCUCAUCGGUAAGCAGAGGCUGUAGGCAACAUGGACCACAGCGAAGAAAAAGCUCAACAGGCCCAGCUGUUUCCUGCACUGUAACCAGGUGUCCAGCCAAGGUGGAAAUCUGCGGUACUUGGUGCCAUAACGAAGCUGAUACGCCGCCGCCAGGAGGCCCGCCAGGUACACCAGGGACAGCAGAGUAAUGGCCACUAUAGGCAAGGUUUUGUUCACAAUCUCAAUAGGAAUCUUGUAAAAGUCACUCUGCUGGUUUCUGGCAUAUGGAUGUAUCACAUCUCUGACAAAGGAAUAAAGGAAGAAAAAUGUGGCCAAGCUUAUAGCUCCUACCACUGGCCCCCUCCAGAGAGUGAACAGUCGCAGGGGUAAAUUUUCAAUCUCCUUGGCAGACGAUAAGGAUCCCACGUCCACAGGAAUAAAAUUCAACUGACGGGCAAGCUCAAUAACCUGUUGUCGAGCUUGGAUAUUGUUGCUACAUAUAUAAACCUGUAAGGAAAAACAGAAGGCUUGUUACCACGCCGGUGCAUAAAAGUCCAACCAUCAGUCACAAAUUGUACUGAACCUGUGGUGCAUUGUUUAAUGACUUCCAGUGAUAACAGUGCAUGAAGAUGAGAAAAAGUGAUUAUUAACUGCAAGUUAUUAAACAGACUUACAGUAAAUCCUACCAUAGGCAUUAUUAACAGUUUUAAAACAGUAUCUUAACCAUGGAUUAAUCAAUCAAAAGUAUCACACUAUGGUAAGAUUUACUAGUAUCUUAAAACAGACUUAAAAUAGUGCAAUAAAAACAAAAGGGUCUUUGCCCCCUACGAAGAAAAUAACGUGAAGAGAAUCCAGCUGCAAAUCUGGAAGGCUCGGAGAGGUUCACAUGAGAAGGAGGCUGCUGGAAGAGAGAUGUUCUCAUUCCAGAAGCAUUACAGAACCUGCCAUCCACUUCCUUCACAAAGUGGACUCCGUGAAGAGUGACCCCUAGUGUGAUCUCGAGCCUUGUACUCUGAGAGUGAAUCUGAAAAGCCCGGUCUACCUCUGCCUACCUGCCCCACGGCCUGAGCUCCAUGCUUAGAACAGACUUUACUUUUCAUAUGCCAUAAGAACUUAAUCUAUGAAAAACACGAAGGUUAUUCUUUAGGAUUCUUAUGAGUUCUACGAAGUCCUAUUUCAUCCGGAGAUGGAAUACUGUAUUACCAAACAGCAAAGGCAGAAAGGGGGAGGGGGGAGGAGGGGCAGAAAGAGGGGAAAAUAAGAACAUGUUACAGCUUUUAAAACUUCUGGAGGAUUAAUGUAACGGUCAUAUGAGACAUCAGCUAACACCACCCUUUCUUUAAUUAACUGGUUAUUACGGAAAAAAUCCGUCAUUUUAUCAAGUUUCCACCAUUUUUUUGGGAAGAGAAACAUGCUUUUACAAGGUUGGAAUGUGGUUGUCACGUGACCUUACAUAGUUUUCAAACAAUCAUUUAAGUGCGUUCGAACCUGGUUUACUUGACUACAAAAUACCAGACAUAUAAUAAAAUUUAAGGCCACACAUACCUGGCGGCUGGCAUCCUUGGGGCCUAACUGAAGUGCCCAAGCUGAGAUAACGUUAAAUCCUUUGACAAUCAAGGAAUCCGGGAACAGCGAAGCCAGAUACUCGGCGUUGGAUUCUGGGUACUGGUUCACCUUCAUGUUGUUGCUCACAUCAAUCAGGAUUUUGCCCACAAGCAGAUGUCUCAGGUCCCACAGGGAGGUGUAAUGUUCUCUGUGGAUAGCCACGAAUAUUAUAUUUGUUUUUGUUAAAGCAUCUUCAUGGUGGGUGACAUCUACCACAUGAGGAAAAAAUUCAGAUGCAAACUUGGGAUUUCUGCUUCCUAUGACCACAUGAUAGCCACAUCUAAUAAGCCGAAUGGUCAGAGACUUGGCAAAAUCCCCACUUCCUAUCACGCCCACAGUGACUUUCCUUGCAUCUUUGAUACCAUUUAUGCCGUUAGGCAAAAAAGUCUCCAGGCUCUUGGGGCUUCCCAUCAUAGAGAUGGAUUCCAUGGUAGAACUGCUUCUAAGAUCUCCAGGAAUGUCCUAGCAGAGAGAAAAGAAAAAUUUCCCCAAUUAAACCUAUUAACAAACAUUAAAACAUUUCUAGACACUGCAAUUAUGUCCUACAUCUCUAAAGACAAAAUAUUUUGACAUGCUAUAUGACCCAGAACACAGCAAGCACAAUUUGUAAGCUAGAGAAGAUCUCUAAAUAGAGAAAUUAACACAAAGGCAAGCAGCUAGAUGAGGCUUCGCAAGUUCACACAAAUAACCUGGGAUCUUAAAAUGCAGAUUCUCACUCAGCCAGGCUGGAGGAAGACUCGAGAGUCUGCAUUUCUUAAAAAAAAAAAAAAAAACCCGGCGUGGAUGCUGCUGGACUAUGGAACCGCCUACGUGUAGCAGGGCUUACAGCAAAGAAGCAAUUUCCCUCAGAUCGUCAAAAACAGCUCUAGCAAGCAUGAGCUCCACAGACCAGGCGGCAAAUCAGAAAUGACACCAGAAGCAGAGGAAAGGACCUUGAUACCAAGAGAUAGCUUUAAAAAGGAUCCAUAAAAACAAAUUUCCAUGCAAUACAACCAAAACUGAACAGUCAUAUAGGGGUUGAGUCUAUGAGUUAUCCGAUAUACCUGAUUAACUACGGAUUUUUAAAGGCAACUAAGAUAAAACAGCCAACAAUAAAAUUAAUGCCAUAACUUGAACAACAGGCAUCCAGAUCUAGUGAAGAGCCAGGCAUGGUGGCACACACCUUAAUCCCAGCACUCAGGAGGCAGAGGCAGGUGGAUCUCUGUGAGUAUGAGGCCAGCCUGGUCUACAGAGUGAGUUCCAAGGCCAACCAGGGCUAUAUAGUGAGACCCUGUCUCCAAUAAAAUAAAAUAAGAAAAAGAAAAAGGAAAAGAGAAAAACCAAACAGCGAAAACCUCGCAAAGGAUUAAUUAAAUACCACAGACACCUAUCAUUCACCCCAUAUUCCAUAACAUAGCUUCCCUAUGUAAAAGGGUUUAGUCAUGUUCAUGGUCUCAAAUACAUAACAUGUGUCUACUCAUGUUCUCUCUUCCAUCCAUUGGCCAGGAAGACCAUGAUGACCUGGCGGCGGGGAGGGGAAGUGUCAGGUUAUUUUUUAUCUAAGUGACUAGUGUUUAUAUUUGUACUAACUUGCUCACUCACACAAGUCAGACUGCAUCAGGGUCACUGCUGGCUCUGACAGAAAAAUACUAUUACAUUCUGUCCCCACUGCACAAUUUCAUUCAUGUUAACAGCAAUGCAGAUCAUUUCAGAAGUUAAUGGAUUUUACAGGCGCUAGUAGAAUGUUUCAAAACAUGUGGAAAAUUCAACUCUCUAUACUAGCAAUAGGUCAUAUUCAAUGACCCCGAAGAGAACCAUAAACUAAAUUGUAGAAGAAAAAUACUAAUAUUAAUAUUGCUUAAUUUUUAUAUAGUACAGGUUUCAGCUCUGUCUGAUAUUUCACAUGUUACCCAAAUCCAGAGAACUGCCCCCAUAAUGCUGUAGGUGCUAUUACAAUGCCCAUUUGCAGAUGAGACAGGAAACAGGACCAUUCAUUUGUCCAGUGCUGCAUGUGAACAAGUAAAGGCAGGAUCAGAACGCCAGGGGAGGCGUGUGUUAUUGGGUGGGUGUAAGAGAUCUCAGAAGGGUCUAUCUUCCCUGCAGCUGCUGCUGUUCGCUGGGAAGUGGCUACAGGGACGGGUGGAGGAGUCAUGUGCCUAUCUGUGAUAUUCUUUGGCUCUUUCACUGCUCUUCAGCAUGACUUAGUGAUUCUAAUGUCUAACUCAGGUGACUGGAGAAAAUUCACCGUCUUUACAUCUAUUACCUGCUCACUUCAGGCCUUUCAGGUUAGGAAGUGUAAUUAUGCUCUCAGACAGACCUAGGCAGCCAGGUAGUACAAAGCCAGCCUCACAUUCCUGGACCAUGCAGCGAAUCAGCAACUAAAGGAACCAUAAGCUAUGAAACCAGAACUCACUCCAUUUCUAAAUUAAGGGUGAAAUUACCAACUUGCCUUCCCCUCAUAUACACAUUACCUAAGGAUAAAAAGUGUUACGAGAUCCACUGUCAAAGCCAGGGAUCCCCAUCAACUCCGAGCUGUUCAAUAUAUACUACAGCAGCUCUCAUGUAAGAACUACAAAAUCUUCUAGCAUAAUAAUCAUGAUGAUAAGGACUUUUCAAGUUAAAAAUAAAACACAAAGAAAUUAUCACUUAUCUGCUUUUUUUUAAAAUAGAACAAGUUCAGACCUCUCUAAAUCAGAAUGUGAAGAAGCACAUAAAUACCUUAGAACCUAAAAACAUCACCAGUGGCCUCUUAUUAAACCACAAAUUUUAUAUCUAUUAAUGGGCAACCAUUGUGUUAACAUGUUUGGACCUUAUUCACAUAGUAUUCGUGAUGGCAUGUUCUAACUGGACCCUAACAGAAUAAAAUUAACCUAA